CUGGAACACUGCAUUUACGACCCUGGUUCAUUGUCAAUAUCCUGGAAAAUAUUCCAAACUUUCUUCUUAGUAAAUCCCACAUAGCUCAGCUCGUUGUG